GCCACAAAGCGUGGACGUAUACAGCGCCACUCUUCCUGAGGGAGUUUCGAGCACCUGUUCGGGAACUCGCGCGUUAAAUUGUUCCUGCCUGUGAGACUUGUUACCAAAGGAUUAUUUUAUACAUUACUGAACAAAGACAAGACAUAAUGAAAACUCAGUAACAGUGAAACUCAUAAAUAAACGUAGAAAAUAAAAUAAUUCAAGUGAGCUUCAUAAGUAGUGAAUUAGUGACCCAGAAGCGAAUCGCUUGAUAAAAAGAAGAGUUGGGUCCCCUUGCCAACACUUGUAUGUUUAUGAGUUAAGGCGAACGCGAGGAUACAGCGCAAGACGUCUGUGGAGACACUCGGGGCAGUGUGCGGUAAGUCACUGAGAAAGUUGGGACUUUUGAAAUACCGUGAGGCAGCGACGGUGGUGGUGCCUUGACCACCUCGACUUCCGGCGGUGUAGUCACGGGCCGGAAGUUGGGCAAAAAACGUAGCUUGCUCACUGCCAGCUAUCGUGAGGAGCUAUUGUCGCCAGGAGUGUGUGAGCACUGAGCAACUUCUCGACUCUGGGGGUCUCACCUGUCAGAAUUAACGACAGUUAACUUACCUAGAAGGUCAGAAUUGUGUAUAUUGUGACAAACCUUUAUUAUUUCAAGAGCUGAGAAUAUAUUAUGAAGCUCCUGACUGAAUACUUUUUACACAGAAGUGAGAAACGUGUACUGUGAAAACUUUUAUACGAAGAGCUGUGAGAAUAAAUCUCUAAACCUUACUGUAUCAUACAUGGUGGACCGAGUACUGGGCCACAGGUACAGAGAACUUGUGACUGGUGAUUAAGGACCAGCGGGACAUUGUUGGUGAACAUAACGAGUUGGUGACUAGUGCGGUGGUGAUACUUACCCCAACACUAUUAAAUUAACCCUCCCCUGACGUGUGUGUGUUAAAGUAAACUAAUGACGCAUAAGCAGGGAGGAAUUACAAGCAGGAACAUCAGCAGACCGAUCUCCUGCUUCUGCUGGUAGUGAGUACAGCAGACUACGUCAGCAGUCAGUGGCCCCGCAAAACCCAUUACUAAAAUAGUGACUGGCGCAAGUGGGUGGCUGUUACUCGUGAGAACCCACAGCCAUUGUUCCUGCUGACGAGGCCUGCACCUUUACCUCACUUGGUGUGUGAGUGUCUGUUGUGUGCGCCCCCUCCCCCCUCAGCCCUCCACCACUUUAAAGACAACAAGACGUCCGAAGACAAGACUUUUAUCAAGGAGGGGACGAAAAAAAAUACGUGAAAGGAAGGAUCCAUCAAAGAGGGAGUUUAUUGUCUCCCGUCUAGACCCUGGCAGAGACUGAGAGAAAAUCGUGCGCUCUAGGUUUCCACUGAUGAGAGGAGGUUCUUCUCCUCCAGUGGACACCAGCGAGCUCGUCACCACACGGCCUUACAACACUACUGCUCGUUUAUCUUAGUCGUCGUGUGCACUUGUGAGCGGGUUGCGUGCGCAUGUAGACAGGGGUUGUGUGUGUACAUGACUCGUCACCUGUGUCGUGUGUAGUGAAAAACAGUGAUGCCGGAUUUUCGCUUCACCUGACGGAGAGUGAGACCGUGAUGGCGUCUAUGUGGUGGAGUGGUGGAGUUCUGGUGGUGGUGAUGGUGCUGAGGCUGGCCACGGCCUCCACCUGUCCGUCUGUCUGCACCUGUAGGUGGAAGAACGGCAAGCAAGCAGUGGAGUGCAGGAACCAAGGACUGAUUAACGUGCCUGACGGGAUCGAACCAGACACACAGGUCCUCGACUUGUCUGGAAACAACCUGCAGACUCUACCAAGACACGCUUUCAAGAGGGCAGGUCUCAUCAACCUACAGAAGAUCUACCUGCGUGACUGUAAGAUCGGCCAGAUUGAUCCAACAGCCUUCUUCCAGCUCACUAACCUGGUUGAAUUAGACUUGAGCGAGAACCUGUUAACGGAGGUGCCUUCACUAUCGUUCUCCCACAUCCAGGCCCUGAGGGAUCUACAACUCCAGGGAAACAGAUUCCGUAAGAUUCGAGGUGACAGCUUCGCCCACACGCCGUCCCUGGUGCGCCUCGACCUUAGCCGUGCGGGUAUCAGAAAUGUUUCACCCUCGGCCUUCCAAUCCUUGUCGCUCAUGGAGAAGCUCGAGAUUCAAGGUAAUCAAUUGUCAGAGCUUCCCCCGGCCGUCGUGAAGAAUCUGGAACGUGUACAUGGGCUGCAGGUUCACGGCAAUCCGUGGUUGUGUGACUGUCGUUCCCUGCCACUCUGGCGGCUACUGGAGGAGAAGCGCGUCCCACACCCCGUCUCCCCGUCAUGCACCGCCCCCAGUAGAGUUAAAGGGAAAACCUUCCACACACUGACGCAGGAAGACUUCGCCUGUCCUCCCCAGAUUCUACCAAUUGUGCGUUUGGUGGAGGGCGUGGCGGGAGAGAACGCAACGAUUGCCUGCCCCGUAGGUGGUCAGCCCCCCCCUCAGGUUAUGUGGUAUAAGGGCGAGGCUCCUGUGGUGAACGGCUCUGUGAUAGGGCUUGGACCACAGCGUCUUUACGUCAUCCAAGAGGGUGACAGGAACCUAAUAAGCCGCCUGGUGAUAACAGGUGCACAGGAGACGGACUCCGGCACCCUACGCUGUGUUGCCAUCAACUCUGCAGGCUCGGCGACUGCUAACUUCACUCUGGCUGUCACAAUGAGAGCAGCGACACAAGCUAAGCUGGAUUCAGGUCACAUCGCCGGGAUCUCUGUCGGUCUGGUGGUGUUGGCGCUCAUCGUGCUAGUGGUGGGGUUUCUGGUCCUGGCGCGGGCUCGCUCCAACUCCUCCCCCACCCCAGUGAAGGAUUCUCCCACCACACCUUCCUCGGAGGAAGCCUCUCCUAGCGAGCCAAAUCCCGUGCAAAAACCACCGCGACUCACGGACCUGAACGGGUCUCCGGGCGCGUACGGAUCUUCCACGCUCGGCAACCCUGACGUGAUCAGCGAGGCAGAGCGGGCCGUGCGGGCCGUCAACGGUCACCUCCCCAAUGGCUCCAUCCAGGGCGUGAGUGAGGGCGGUGACUACACGCGUGUGGAGGGUGAUUCCCUCUACCCAAGUGGGCUGUGGCCAGAGGACGCCCCCCCUCAGGAGCCCCUCGACAACACUGAUCCUUCCAAAAUCAUCCACGAGCACUUCAACCCUGGCUACCUGGCCAACGACCCGGGCUACGACGGAUACGGCCCAGUGCACUCCACGCCCUACCGCCCUGGCUAUGAAUCUCAGGAAGACUUUGAUCCACAGAACUAUGGCUAUCCAGCUGACUACGGGCUUCCUAUUCCUGAGGCGGGGCAUGAACGAGAGCCCCGAGGAGCAGUUCCUGGGGCCACAGACUGGAGCAUGGUAGACCUCCAUGGGGCACGGGAGGGGGUGGACUCCAGAGCAGACACCUACGCCUCCAGACAAGACAUGUACGCCUCGCAGCAGGACGUGUACAGCACACGCCAGGACCUAAAAGACUCGCGGCAGGACCUGUACGGGGUGACCAAGGGUCGGCCGCCAGUGUAUGGGUAUCGGCAGGAGGUUUACGGGUCCCGAGAAGAUGUGGCGGAAGGUGCGGAGAGUCCCCAAGGUCCUGCAGGUCCCCUGGGGGAGCGACCAUGGGUGCCGGGGUCCCAGGCGCCGCCCCUGGCCCGCGGGGGAGUCGCCGUCCUUCCUCCUCUCCCCAACGGCAUCGCCAGCCGCAUCAAGGCCCGAGACUCUCCCGACGAAGGGUAUCAGGAGGGCACUGAGGUGUAGCGGGGUCGCAGGGCCCGUCGCAGCGGCGGUCCCUGCUUCCUUCCCCCCACACCAACACGCCCAUCACGCUUCUCGCCCCUUUCUUCCUCGUCCUCCCGCCCGUCACCCCCACGAGCCUCCCCCACUUCUCGGUCCUCCCCUCAAAGCCCCUCCCACAGUGACCUGACGCCGUGACCUGAUAAAUGUUAUGGAAUAGUGAUUUGUUAUGAUGACGUGACACAAGUUACGUGACUCAAUGGUUGAGCUGAAGAAAAGUGUCAGGUAAAUCAGUGUGGAGUGUGACCAUAGUGGUUCAGUGUGGAGCGUGACCAUAGAGGUUCAGUGUGGAGUGUGACCAUAGUGGUUCAGUGUGGAGCGUGACCAUAGUGGUUCAGUGAAAAGCGUGACCAUAGUGGAUCAGUGUGGAGUGUGACAAACUCAGUGAAGGAGUCCGACCUCUGUAAUUAAGAUAGUAUAUUACUCCGUGUUAACUAGAACACCUACAGAUAAAAAUAGCUUUUGUGAGGACAGUGGGGAGAGAGCGUGACUGACGCCAGUAACAGUGUCACUAGUCUCAAGAAGGAGUCCCUCGCAGCUACCACAGGACGUCAGUGUGAGUGUGUCUGUCUCAGCAGCAACAGCAGGUUAGGUUUAAUGAUCCCCCUACAUCUGCCUGCUACACACCUGGGCUCACCUGUGGUGUGGUGAUGUACAUAGCCGAGCCACCGUGUUUGUACCGUACACAAGGUAUUACCAUUGUUAUUUUGAGGUGCCCGACGGCAUCAACACCAAAGACUAGGUCAGUUUGUACCGCUUUUGUGCUUGUGCUGGCGGGUCAGCCCGGCCAGGUCCUAACUUGUCAUAACUUACAGAACUCUUGUGUACAGACCUGUAGUCCUACCUGCCGGGCGCCGCUGGUAACUUUCAUCAAUAAUAAUAAUAAUGUAUUGUGCGUGAGAUAACGUUGUCAUUGAUGUUGACUGUUUUUUCGAUGCUACUAAACUACUUAUGUCAAAUUUACAAUGGUUAAUAAAGAGGGAGAUGACCAAAAUACUCUUGUGUGUGACGGAUGUAACAUACAGUACUCAGUGUGUGUGGCGGAUGUAACAUACAGUACUCAGUGUGUGUGACGGAUGUAACAUACAGUACUCAGUGUGUGUGUGACGGAUGUAACAUACAGUACUCAGUGUGUGUGGCGGAUGUAACAUACAGUACUCAGUGUGUGUGACGGAUGUAACAUACAGUACUCAGUGUGUGUGGCGGAUGUAACAUACAGUACUCAGUGUGUGUGACGGAUGUAACAUACAGUACUCAGUGUGUGUGUGACGGAUGUAACAUACAGUACUCAGUGUGUGUGGCGGAUGUAACAUACAGUACUCAGUGUGUGUGGCGGAUGUAACAUACAGUACUCAGUGUGUGUGGCGGAUGUAACAUACAGUACUCAGUGUGUGUGGCGGAUGUAACAUACAGAACUCAGUGUGUGUGGCGGAUGUAACAUACAGUACUCAGUGUUGAAUAUAUUAAUUUAACAGAGAAUUAUAGCACAAACUGUCAACUAAUAAGGUGUUUUUUAAAUGUCUUUUGGAGAGAACUUUCCCACUGGCUUUGUUAUUACUUUACCUGUGACCCCUCAUUACCAUACACCUGUGAGGCCCCUCCCUCCUGCCCUCCCCCACCAGCGUCCAACUCUCCCAAGGAUCACCUGACUCACGGAUCACCUGACUCACGGAUCAAUUGACUCAUGUAUCACCUGACUCACGGAUCACCUGACUUGUGGAUCAACUGACUCGUGGAUCAACUGACUCAUGGAUCAACUGAGUCAUGAAUCAACCGACUCAUUUAUCAACUAACUCAUGGAUCAACUGACUCAUGAAUCAACUGACUCAUGAAUCAACUGACUCAUGGAUCAACUGACCCAUUGAUCUGACUCAUUGAUCAACUGACUCAUGAAUUAACCAACUCAUGCAUCAACUGACUCAUUGAUCUCACUCAUGAAUCAACUGACUCAUGUAUCAACUGACUCAUGAAUCAACUGAAUCACGGAUCAACUGAAUCAUGAAUCAAUUGACUCACGGAUCAGGGAGAGACGUUGGCCCCUUAAGGAGUGAUGUAAGGGUCAGGUUAUCCACUACUGUCUUGAGUAUCUGGACGUCAGUUAUCCAGGCUGCCGGUUAACUGAGAUGCUUGUUAUCCCAACAUCCGGUAAUCAAGACAUUGGUUAACUUAAAUCUUAAAUAUCCAGAAUCCAGUUAACCGAGGGGUAUUAACCAGGCCUCCGGUUAACAACAAGAGAGCAAUCGUUAUCCAGUAUCCGGAUAACCCCUUGAGGUUUGUUAGCCGGGAAUGAGGUUAUCAACAAUCAAAUUAACCGAAAUAUUAUCCAGGCUUUUGUUAACCGAGCACUUUGUUAUCCAGGCUGUUCAAACAUCAGCUUAACUAUGGGCUUUAAUAUUCAAGCUUCUAGUUAACCGAAAUCUGUUAUCCAGGAGUCUGUUAAUCAUGAAUCCAAUUAACCGAACUCACUGUUAACCAGAAGCCAUUCCAUCUGUAUAUAGACUAGUUAGCCAGUAGCCGGUUAACUAUUUUUCUCAUUGUUUUGGGUUCGGUAAAUCACUGUCUAGGUUCUUUACCCUGACGUCUCGUAUAACCGGAUCUCGAUUAACCACAGGCUCUGGUGUUCUAGUCAUCCCGAUUAACCAGAAUUCGGUUAACUGUAUUCGUGAUCAUCUAAGUAAGACUAUUAAACGAAUUCCAUAUGCACUAAACGGCUUUGUUAACAAAUGUAUCUUAUAAUCAGUAUUGGGUUAAACAACCUUUCGAUUAACCGGAACUAGGUUAACCGGAGUCGUUUACCCGGUACACUGUUUAAUCAACACCACUUUUGUCUAGAAAUUCGGUUAAACGACUCCGUGUUCAUGUUAUCCAGAGUCCGGUUAAGCAACGUCCCGAUUAACCAGAACUCGGUUAAUCACACUCUUGGACCACCCAGGGUAAGACGUCUCCUUUAUCGGGUGUCUUAUGUCCAUUUAAAGGGAGUGACUUAUUAGAGACGUGUGCCAAAUAUCUUCCUGUCCUGGAUAACAACUUCCCUGCUCCCUCGGUGUAGACUGUAAUCAUCCAAAGUUGCUUAGAGCUUUAAUUAUCCAACCACCAAUUAUCCAGCUCAAUGUUGUGGAGAGGGUAGUGUGUGUGUGUGUGUGUGUGUGUGUAUGUGUG
rnacentral:misc_RNA from 1 species